CGGGGCGUAGCGCAGACAGGUCAGCGCGCCUGCUUCGGGAGCAGGAGGUCCCCGGUUCAAAUCCGGGCGCCCCGACCA
rnacentral:tRNA from 2 species